GCUGGGCACGGUGGCUCAUGCCUGUAAUCCCAGCACUUUGGGAGGCCGAGGUGGGCGGAUCACCUGAGGUCGGGAGUUCAAGACCAGCCUGACCAACAUGGAGAAACCCCAUCUCUU
rnacentral:SRP_RNA from 1 species